UCACCGUAACUCAGUCUCACACUCUCUCUCUCUCUCUGCCUCUCCAGUCCUCACCGUCACUCUCUCUCUCUGCCUCUCUAGUCUCCGCCUCUCCUCACCGUCACUCUCUCCAGUCUCCGCCUCUCCUCGCCGUCAUUUCCGCCCCUACCUUCCUCCAAAUCGCCAAUCGCGUUGAAAACCUCCUCCACGUGUAAUUGUUGAAGCUCUAAAGGUGGAUAGUCGGCAGAAACUUUGUUCAUCAUUGGAGCCUAUUCUCCGGAGAGUUCUAGGGAAUUUCAUUAACAUAGAGCCCUUGGAAUAGUAUAACAACAAGAUUUUCUCUUGCUGAGCAGCAAAAAUGGCUUUGGCUUCUUCUGUAAAAGUGGUUCUAGGCUCAAUUACUUUUGCAAUCUUCUGGGUAUUGGCAGUUUUCCCAGCUGUUCCUUUUCUACCAGUUGGGAGGACUGAAUAUGAUGCAAUUGAUCUUCAAAUCCUUAGUCUUCUCUUUGGGACCAUGGUUGCCAGUGUAUAUGGUUGUCAGAACAUGAUGAUACAAUGAAGGAGCUAUUUGUCAACUCAAAGUUAUAAACUUCUUAUGCUUUUUUUUCUUAUUUGCAAUCUUUAUGUUUUGAUAUAUGAAUGUGUUAUGAAAGUUUAGAUAUGGUAUGACUCUAUUAUGAUAUAUAAAUGAAAAUUUCUUGGUUUCCAUUUAUCACAUUUUUUUUAUUGAUUAGUUUUUUCUUUUUUAAGAUUGGUUAGUUUUUAUGUUAUAAUGUUUUGAAUAAAA